GGCAUCAUCCAUUCAAAUGGCACGUCCUUAUAUCCUUGUAUUUGUGUAUUAUAUAUAAGAUUAAUCAUGCAUUUAUAGUAGCAUUAACAGUCAACAUGAACCUGAUGAAGGAACAUAAUAGAUCUAUUUCAAUUUUUUGUGCAUUGUAUUUACUCUGCGGCUUUACAAAAUCCAUUGAAACUAGUCAAGAAGUACAGAAAAGAGAGCAUGCACUAGAAACAUAUAAACCAGGCAAGUAGUUUUUCUUUCUCGUAUGAAUGACUUGUAUUGUUAUGGAUCGCAGUAAAUGCGUAAGUGACGAC